rnacentral:rRNA from 1 species
CAGUCGCCGCGGUAAUACGAAGGGUGCAAGCGUUAAUCGGAAUUACUGGGCGUAAAGCGUGCGUAGGCGGUUUGUUAAGUCUGUUGUGAAAUCCCCGGGCUUAACCUGGGAACUGCGCUUGUGACUGCACAGCUAGAGUAUGGCAGAGGGGGGUGGAAUUCCACGUGUAGCAGUGAAAUGCGUAGAGAUGUGGAGGAACACCGAUGGCGAAGGCAGCCCCCUGGGCCAAUACUGACGCUCAUGCACGAAAGCGUGGGGAGCAAACAGGAUUAGAUACCCGGGUAGUCCCUGUCUCUUAUAC